AGCCUGGGGCUGAACACAGAUCUUGCUCCCACUGCCUGUCUUGGACCUCAGGGCUUCUGGAGAAAUCCUGCCUCCUCUCUCACUUUGGGAUGGGUGGGGAUCAAGUCUGGGUCCUGAGGGUUUUUCCCUUUCUUUAGGGUCAGCUUCUACCUUUGCUGUUGUGUGGGACUGUCUGGCUCUGCACUGCAUUGAGGCUCCUCCACGUUUUUAUUUCAGGGAUUACAAGAACAAGACCCUAAAUACUCGGUUGAAGAGGUAGGCAGAAAAAGUGAGCAAGUGAAGGCUUAAUGGAGGCACCAAAAAUAGGCAUGGUGCUGGAAAUUCGGCAGGUCAAGUAAACCCUCUUAUGGGAAACAGGCUCAGUCUGACACCUGAUUGCUCCCUUGUGUAAAGCAGAGGCACCCCCAAGGUUUUUGUAGAAGAGACUUGAGGUUUCCUUUUACACUUUAAAGAAAGCUCAAGAGGGAAUAAGUCUCAGUCAACCAACGCUCUUUUGUAUAUGAAGAAUUUGAGUCUGAUGUUACUCUCAUGCUGGAAGAAAUAUAAAGUCUUUGAAGUCACUCCAUCAAAGUCAACAACUACACAAUAAGGGAGAAAAAAUGAGCUGUUUAUGUCUUUUUGUGUGUUUGUUUCUUGCCUUAAUCUGAAAAAAUAAUUAAAAUAAUCUGAUUUAUGA